rnacentral:lncRNA from 1 species
AUCUACCAAGUGUCUUGCAGACUGGAAAGAAUGCCCGACGGAAAAGUCUGGGUACUAUUACGAUAAUAAUACAGACAAAUGCGUGUUUUAUAAUGAAAGUAGGACGUGUGGCCCGCAACGCCACUUAUUCCCAUCUGAGGAACAGUGCAACUGGGGAUGCCGAACAGACACUAUCUGCAAGCUUCCGUUAGAUGAAGGAAGUGAGUGUGGACAAUCUGGCGAGUUGAUGUAUUACUACGAUGACACCAAAAAGGAGUGUGACCUUUUUUUUUACAAGGGUUGCGAAGGCAAUGCAAACAGAUUUGUCUCCGUGCGAGAGUGCGAGGUAAUAUGCAGAGGCCAGCGGUGUGACCUUCCGAUCAAAGACGACGAUGGUAUUUGCAAUCCUAAACGAACUACGUACCACUUCCGAGGUAAAGAUGGCGCCAGUUCCUGCGUAAAGAAGACCAACGGAUGCGACCGGAGUGCUCAGAACUUCAAAAAGGAGAGCGAUUGUCGCCGCGUAUGCAUUUUGAGACCAUAGCCUCUCUCAAGUGCGAAGAAGGAUACAACAAGACAACUCCGCUAAGAAACGUGGUGCGCAGGCCAAGAAAGCAAUCUGUCCAAUAAACUACAAGUAUCCAAGAAACUAACGAUAAAGUAAACUAUUUAUUUUACUCAAUUUGCGGUGUUGUUCUUAUUGCUGGAGC